UCGCCUCACCUCCUGCCCCAGGCCCUGACACUGAGUGUGAUGCAGGGAGAGGCUACCUCAUCCGUCUGCUCUAAGCCCCCAAAUUCCAAUCUGCACUUCCGCACCCUCAAAGAGGUCCCACGGGUCUGCCAAGCCACCUACACCUCCCGGCUGUGUUGGAGGUGUAUUUCCCCUCCCCAGCCCCAGGCACUACCCUGGUCUGGCCAACUGCAUCUUCCUGUCUAGAGUUCUGCACCCAGCAUUUAAGACCCUUGGUGGUCUGGCACCUACCUGCUCUUUUCCUAGCCUCCAGCCAUCCGGAGUUGCUCAGUGUUGCCCACCCACGGCCUGACCUCCCAGUCCUGCUGGCUCUUGGCCUGUGCUCAUCUCCGGGCCAGGGGGCCACCUCAUCUGCCUGCGACUCCUACUCGGCCUUCGGCCCCAGCUGGGGAGUUGGCUCCAUCGUGGCAAAGUCAGAAGUCCCUCCUCUGGGUUCCCAAAGCACGUAUAUAUACAUGGCGUCAAAUUAUUUCUCUAACUGCCUCCACCACCCACCCUGUGAGUCCCUUGUGAGCAGAGGCUGAGUCUGACUGUGUUGAAUCCGUGGUGUGACACGUGCUGGACGCUCAUUAAGUCCGGGCGGAAUUCAUCUCCCGGCAGAGUUUUGGGGAAAGACGUCUGGCUCACACCAGAGCCGUGGGGGCGUCUCACCUCGAGACCCUGCUGCUAGGCCAAGCUUCCAGGCCCUCCCCAGAAGUAAGUGUGGUAUGGUGCAAAGCCAUACCUCCCCAACCACCCUGUGUCACAUUCCAGCUUUGCCUCUCAAUUGCCCACUGCAUGCCCUUGAACAUGUCAUUCAUUCAUUCAUUCAUUUAUUCAGUCAGCAUUUAAUGGACAUUUUGGUGGCUUUGGUGUGUGUCAACUUAGCUAAGCUGAACUACAUUUCCCAGAAUUCCUUUGCCCCCAGGGUCCUGGGUUAGGGUUGGCCAUAGGACAAAUGCCUGCGAGAUUUGGAAGGCAGAAGUGGCGGCAGCCAUUUUGUUACAAUCUGUAGGUUGUGCAGAGCAGGCACAAGGACACCUGGUGCACACUGUGGCUGGACUGCUGGCUUACCUUGUUGGGCUAGGGCAGCCGCUGGGCCCACAGGUCCUCCAGGUGCUGGGCCAGGUGUGCGGCUCUGGGGCCCAGCAGAGACACGGAGACAAGCCCUCCCACGGACUAAUUAACCAGCUCCCACCAGCGAGGGAGGGAUGGGGUCUUGCUGUGUUGCCCAGGCUGGUCUUGAACUC